UAGAAAUCCCCAGUUUUCAGGAAGACGUAUAUUUUCCCCAAGACAUGUAAGCUGCGGUUUUCUCCUGUUGUUUACUAACGAUUUUGUGAAUCUCUGAACGUAUAGUGAGAGCCGGUUGAUGUUUACUACUCUUCAGAACAUCUUAUGUUCUAGAAAUCCAAUGCUGUACAGAACUGGCGAGUUGAUUUCUGGACUUGGAUUCCUCAUAGAUACUACAUAUUAAUAAAGAUCCAACCCUAAAAUCUGGGGUUGCGUCUCCCUCGACUGUCUCAAAAAAUCAUACCUCUGUUCACCUAGGAUGCUGGGAAGGUUUUCUCAAUGUGCAUCUGCUCGUGUCCUACAUGAACUGUGACCGAGCCCUGUCCGUUCUGUCUCAAAUAUGUAUCUGCAAACACGUCUCUCCAUUUCCACAACUACCCAUGGCCCAUUGUGGAACCAUUGGC
rnacentral:lncRNA from 10 species